GAUGAACGCUGGCGGCGUGCCUAAUACAUGCAAAUCGAGCGAACAGAUAAGGAGCUUGCUCCUUUGACGUUAGCGGCGGACGGGUGAGUAACACGUGGGUAACCUACCUAUAAGACUGGAAUAACUCCGGGAAACCGGGGCUAAUGCCGGAUAACAUUUAGAACCGCAUGGUUCUAAAGUGAAAGAUGGUUUUGCUAUCACUUAUAGAUGGACCCGCGCCGUAUUAGCUAGUUGGUAAGGUAACGGCUUACCAAGGCAACGAUACGUAGCCGACCUGAGAGGGUGAUCGGCCACACUGGAACUGAGACACGGUCCAGACUCCUACGGGAGGCAGCAGUAGGGAAUCUUCCGCAAUGGGCGAAAGCCUGACGGAGCAACGCCGCGUGAGUGAUGAAGGUCUUCGGAUCGUAAAACUCUGUUAUUAGGGAAGAACAAAUGUGUAAGUAACUGUGCACGUCUUGACGGUACCUAAUCAGAAAGCCACGGCUAACUACGUG
rnacentral:rRNA from 1 species